AUUGAUAGCCGGGAUGGCCAUGAAAGUGCUUCAGAAGGACAUGGAGGAGCUGAAGUUAUCAAUGCAAGUGAUGUCUUCAAAUGUGGAAACCAUAAUGAAGCAACAGGCCAUUAUUACAGAGCUGAUGGGAGAGGUGAAGCAGCUCAAACAAUUAAACAUUGAACAAAAUAAGAAAAUUGUCAGCCUGGAAAAUAGAUUAGACAAUUAGGAGCAGUACUCAAGAAUGAGCGAUGUCAUCAUCACAGGUUUAAGGAUCAAACCACGGAGCUACCAGCAGGCUGUGAAAGGCCUUGCUUCAGAGGAUAAUCCUGAACAUGAGGAGACAACAGAGGAGCAGAUGACACAAACCUGCUUUGCAGUGGGGAGGACCUGGAUCAACUAUUGGAUACUGUGGGAAUUGAAAUGGAAAAAUUACAGAGUUGGUUUGACACAAAUAAACUAACACUAAAUUUAAGUAAAACAAAGUAUAUUAUAUUUGGAAACCGUCCGACCAACACAGACAAAAUACUUACAAUAAAUAAUAUAGAAAUAGAAAGAGUAAAUGAAGUAAAAUUUCUUGGAGUGCUUAUAGAUAAUAAAUUAAGUUGGAAACCACAUAUAAUGUAUAUCAAAUCAAAAAUUUCAAAAUCACUAGCAGUAUUAUAUAAAGUAAAAGACCUUAUAAAUCAGUCAUCAUUAUAUUCCUUGUACUGCUCCUUCAUACUCCCAUACAUUAUGUACUGUGUGGAGGUGUGGGGCAAUACAUACAAAACAAACACAGAUCCAAUCUUCAUUCU